rnacentral:sRNA from 1 species
GAGCUGCACGUGGGCUUUUCUGUGUUGGCAGAACGUCCAUGGUGAGCCAUCUGCAUGUGAAUUUCCAUUUCCAAAAGUCGUCAGCAAUAGUAAAUGCCUAGAAAUCACGCAGAUGGAUGGAGCUGGUGUGAAGAGGAACAACUUCGACAUUGUUUCCUUCCACGAACCUCUUAAUUAAUUGCUUCCACUUUAAUGGAAUAAUUAUGGAACACAGUUUUAAUGGCAUGUGGCCACAACUGUAAAGAGGAUAAAGCUUUGUCCUCCAAAUACAGCUCAGCAUCUUUGUUCAUACUUAGAAAUGUGCAGCGUUCUUGUUUGUAUAUUGAGAGAGAUUUAAUUCUUAUUUUGGUUUUCAUGUCUGUUUACUGCAGGAAGCAGACAGUAUGAGCAUGACCAGUGGAGAAGGUACUAGUCAUCCUCCAGAAAGAGUGUGGAGAGAAAAAGAGGCACACCUGGACGCAGAGCCCUGCCAGCGCCCUCCUCUGCUGUCGCAGCUGCAAGGAGACCAUGCGUGGGAGCCAGGCCUCGCUUGCAUGAAGAAGGAAUGAUGCCUUUUUCAGUGGUGUCUCCCUCCCAUCGUGCAGAAGAGCUUUUGUUGGCUUCUCUCCCGAGCUUGUGCCUGAUUCUGUGGCCCAAAACAAUCAUUGUUAACAUCUUCAUGUGUUUCGUUCUGAUCUUUCAUUCAUAUAUAUGAUGCCUAGCUAAUUUCAUUUUAAAAUAAAUGGGCAUCUGUUGUA